CUACGGGCGGCAGCAGUGAGGAAUAUUGCACAAUGGGGGGAACCCUGAUGCAGCAACGCCGCGUGGAGGAUGACGCAUUUCGGCGUGUAAACUCCUUUUAUAUGUCAAGAAAAUGACGGUAGCAUAUGAAUAAGCACCGGCUAACUCCGUGCCAGCAGCCGCGGUAAUACGGAGGGUGCAAGCGUUACUCGGAAUCACUGGGCGUAAAGGACGCGUAGGCGGGUUGGAAAGUCAGGUGUGAAAUCCUACAGCUUAACUGUAGAACUGCACUUGAAACUUCUAAUCUAGAGUAUGGGAGGGGGAGAUGGAAUUAGUGGUGUAGGGGUAACAUCCGUAGAUAUCACUAGGAAUACCUAAAGCGAAGUCGAUCUCCUGGAACAUUACUGACGCUAAGGCGUGAAAGCGUGGGGAGCAAACAGGAUUAGAUACCCCGGUAGUC
rnacentral:rRNA from 1 species